CUCGACUAUAGGGGUUAUGGCUGUGCUCUUGUUACCAGAUGAGAUAUCAUUUGAUCCUGUGAUUCUUCAGGACAAGAUCUUGAUGCCAUCCACACCCAGUACAUGACGAAGGUUUUCUGGGAUCCACAGUGGAAGGCAUCAAGGCGUGAGAUGUUGGCUGGACAGAUGUACCUGUACACCACACCGACCUCUGCUUUUACAUGGAUGGCGGAUUACUAUCAUGUUCUAUAAAGGUUUCAUUAUAGCAAAACAGAGCACCUGUGACAGUGGAAUCUGUUGGUGUAACGUAGUCAGUUAAAAGUAGUCAGGUGUAAAGUAGUCACAGAGAGAACUUUUUUUUUUUUUAAGUUUCAAACUUUUU